ensembl:processed_transcript
AUCUCUCAUCAGGACCAGUCUGACUGCACCUGCAUCCUUAGCUCAGAGCAUCCCUGGAGCAUCUAAGAGGAAAGCGCAGCUAGCAACCAGGGAUCUUACUGCAGGGGCAGUCGGCCAUGCACCUUCCCCUCCCCUGAUCUGGAGGUCUACAGCCGCGGCCUCGGUACUGACCGAGAUUCCCAAAGUUGUCUGACCUCUGCAAGAGUGUUUCUAUCAACAGCCUCUGAUUACAACAUGGCUGAGAUCACAAAUAUCCGCCCCAGCUUUGGUAAGUAGAGCNUGACAAACUAAUUUGGGGGCGAUCAGUGCCGUUGCAAUGCCAGAUAGCUGAGGAAUGGGCGGGGAGUGAAGUCCAAAUGGGACCCUCUCACUGCCANCCCAGCCAGAAUAGGGCCUGAGGUCAUGAGUAGAAGGCUGUGGAUAACCUCUGAAUUUCAGCUGUGGGCUGCAGGCUCUAGCAAGGGCAGAGUGCCACCGAGGAUAGGCAAGUCCAGGAUGCUAAAACCUUGAUGGUAAACCCUUGAUGGUGCACUGUCAGCACGACUGGAGGUGAGAAAUGGCAAGCUUGCGGAGGAUGUGAACAAUCUCCCCACCACCACCCCCUUUCUGGAGGAAGAGAGGUGAGGUAGGCCGAGCCCUACCCCUAGGGGCACGCAGGGCGAUGCCCCUUCCUCCCCCUCCUACUUCUGAGGGCUGCAGAAGAGGAAAGUGGCAAGGGGGAUGGGACAUCAAGAUGGCAGCGUGGAGACUAUGGGCUGUAUGGCUGGAAGCCAAGNGAGGCGGAGGCCUCCAGGGAAAGAAGGGUGCGGGGGUGGGGAGCACAAAUGAAGCCACUCCUUAAGGCGGUCAGAGGGUUGCUAGGGCUGGGUGCAUGCUUCAUUCUGCACCAUAAUGGUGUAGUCUUUUGGGGUGUUACCAAAUGGCACUUGGCCCUGCCAGCGGAGAGAUGACGUGAUGUCUAUUUCUGAAGCUCCUGGCAGUGCCUGGGUGCCCCUUCCGGGGCCUUUGUUCCCCGUUUUCCAGGUUUGGCUUUUCAAAAAGAGGUACUCACCUGUGCUGGUGCUGGCCAGGGAGGCAAUCCUGGCCUGGGGGAGGGGCUGGAGAGGCCCAGCCCGAGGGAGGCCGCUUUGUGUACCACAGAAAGCAUUACGUCAUCUCGGAGCGGCUGGUCUGCGACCUAGCCCUCUGGGUUCUCAGAGCACUUUUACACUCCCUGGGGCAGAAAGUNCUGUGGUAAAUAGGUGGGAAAGAAAGCAAGAAAGGCUUGGCCAAGUCGUUUCCUCUUGGGGAACUCCUCCAUAAGCAUCCAGGAGCGCAAGCUUCUCAUGCUGUGCUCCACACCACAUAAAUAAGUAAAAUAAAAUUGUCCUUCGAUUGGAGGAAUCAAGUAAGAGUUGUUGCAGAGUGAACCUAGAACCUUCAUAUUCCUUAAGAGAGUAUAUCCCUCAGACAAUCCAGGUGUGAACAUUAGGUUCCAAAAUUUAGGGUAGAGACACAAGCCAUCUUUAAAAAAAUAAAAUAAAAAUGGCUUUCUUGGCCUCCUGGGAGGAAGAGANGAAAGCAUCCAGACAAUGGAUCUUCACACCCCUCAGCCCUUGUUCCCAUUUGACCCCAAGGCUGGAUCUUAUUGUAUUUCUUCAGCUUUGCUCUCUGUCUCUAUCCUUGAAGUCUUGAGUUUCCCAGACCGAAAUCCAUUUUGUGAUCACAUGAAAAACCCAGGAUUUUCUUCACAAUCUUUUGCUUCUCAAACUCUCUUUUUCCAGCAGUCUCCUUUCUCUAAUUGCAAUUCUAGAGCCUUUUGAGAGUAGAUGAAACAAAACCUAGACUUGUGGUUUCUUUACUUCCUGAGUUCAAGGCCAGUUUAGGGCUACUUCCUGAGUUCAAAACCUGACUGGACAAGGUCAUGAGAUUGGUCUCUAAAAACAAGAAGCCAGGAAUGGUGGCUCAAGGCAGAGGUAGAAGUGUCAUGAAUUCAAAGUAAGCCUGACUGAGUCCAGUCAGCAUGGGCUAGGUUGAAACCUUGAAAAAAUAAUGCAAAGUAAAAAAGUGAUCCAAGCAUGGUGGAUCACACUACAGUCCUAUGGCACUGGGAAGGUGGCGUUNAGAACAUUCAGAAUUAAAAGACCAGGGCAAGUAUGUAGAACACUUGGGCUCACACCUAAAAAAAUGAGUUCUAGCCUUAGAGCCCACAUGAAGGUGGAAGGAGAAAAAGGACUCCACAGAGCUGUCAUCUACCUUUACCCAUACACUCAUGGCAUGUCACACACACACACAUGCACACAUAGUAAUAUGGUUUUUGAAAUAAUUAAAACAAAAAAUUCAAGGCCAGUUUUUGGUUGUAUAGCCAUUUUGAGGCCAGCCUGGGCUACAUAAAAAAAAAAAUUGAACAAAC